AGAAUCAACGCUGGCGGCGUGCCUAACACAUGCAAGUCGAACGAGAAAGUGGAGCAAUCCAUGAGUAAAGUGGCGCACGGGUGAGUAACACGUGACUAACCUACCCUUGAGUGGGGAAUAACUGAGGGAAACCUCGGCUAAUACCGCAUAAUACCUACGGGUCAAAGGAGCAAUUCGCUUAAGGAGGGGGUCGCGGCAGAUUAGUUAGUUGGCGGGGUAAUGGCCCACCAAGACGGUGAUCUGUAUCCGGCCUGAGAGGGCGCACGGACACACUGGAACUGAAACACGGUCCAGACUCCUACGGGAGGCAGCAGUGGGAAUUUUGCGCAAUGGGGGAAACCCUGACGCAGCAACGCCGCGUGGAGGAUGAAGACCCUUGGGUCGUAAACUCCUUUCGAUCGGGACGAUUAUGACGGUACCGGAGAAGAAGCCCGGCUAACUUCGUGCCAGCAGCCGC
rnacentral:rRNA from 1 species